rnacentral:rRNA from 1 species
AGAGUUUGAUCCUGGCUCAGGAUGAACGCUAGCGGCAGGCUUAACACAUGCAAGUCGAGGGGUAGGAGAAGCUUGCUUCUCUGAGACCGGCGCACGGGUGCGUAACGCGUAUGCAAUCUACCUUUCACAAAGGGAUAGCCCAGAGAAAUUUGGAUUAAUACCUUAUAGUAUAUCGAGUUGGCAUCAACAUGAUAUUAAAGAUUUAUCGGUGAAAGAUGAGCAUGCGUCCCAUUAGCUUGUUGGUAUGGUAACGGCAUACCAAGGCUACGAUGGGUAGGGGUCCUGAGAGGGAGAUCCCCCACACUGGUACUGAGACACGGACCAGACUCCUACGGGAGGCAGCAGUGAGGAAUAUUGGACAAUGGGCGCAAGCCUGAUCCAGCCAUGCCGCGUGCAGGAUGACGGUCCUAUGGAUUGUAAACUGCUUUUAUACAGGAAGAAACACCUCUACGUGUAGAGACUUGACGGUACUGUAAGAAUAAGGAUCGGCUAACUCCGUGCCAGCAGCCGCGGUAAUACGGAGGAUCCAAGCGUUAUCCGGAAUCAUUGGGUUUAAAGGGUCCGUAGGCGGUCAGGUAAGUCAGUGGUGAAAGCCCAUCGCUCAACGGUGGAACGGCCAUUGAUACUGUCUGACUUGAAUUAUUAGGAAGUAACUAGAAUAUGUAGUGUAGCGGUGAAAUGCUUAGAGAUUACAUGGAAUACCAAUUGCGAAGGCAGGUUACUACUAAUUGAUUGACGCUGAUGGACGAAAGCGUGGGUAGCGAACAGGAUUAGAUACCCUGGUAGUCG